UAGCAAGUUAUAUUUAUUGUGUGUGGAAGUUUAAUUACAAGUUGUAGCAAGUUAUAUUUAUUGUGUGUGGCAAGUCUAAUUACAAAGUUAUAUCAAGUUGUAUUUAUUAUGUGUGACAAGUUUAAUUACAAAGUUUAGGUGUGUGCGUAUGUGGGUUUGGUGGUGUGUGUGGUAUUUUCUCUUUUUAUUAAUUAUUAAAUCAUUUGUGUGAUAUUUUCUUUUUGUUUUCUUUAUGUUAAUUAUUAAAUCAUUAUUAAAAAAAUUAUUAUGUAUAUCUCCACAAAAAUCAUGGACAAGCCAAAAUAUUGGGCACUUAGUCU
rnacentral:lncRNA from 1 species